UCCCAUUCCGAACAGAGAAGUUAAGCCCGCUUGCGCCGAUGGUACUGCAAUGCAAUGCGGGAGAGUAGGUGGCUGCCUUCU
rnacentral:rRNA from 1 species